rnacentral:lncRNA from 1 species
UUUCGGUUCCUGGAAAGGUUACCGGAGCUGCGAUUGGGGCUGGGACCAAAGUUGAGUCCUGGAAAGGGAGCCUGGAGAGCGGCGGUGCUGGGAGGCCCGGCCAGCUCGAUCGCAGGCUUCCACCUGGCGGCCAGUCCCCGGAUGCGCACCCCAACGGCGCCUGCGCCUACGGGGGCCUCAGCCUUGCAAAAUGUCACUCAGCAGAGCCUGCUGCUGAAACGUGGGAGUUGAAAAAGAUGCUUGUUUGCUACUGAUGGGUGUGAGCAAGUUAGAUAUUCUAUACCGGAGACUUCUCCUAACAAAACUUUUUAUCAGAGGAUGGGGAAGGCCAGAAGAUCUCAAAAGACUCUUUGAAUUCAGAAAGAUGAUUGGAAAUCGGGAAAGAUGCCAGAAUCUGGUUUCAAGCGAUUAUCCAGUACACAUUGAUAAGAUUGAAGAGCAAUCAGAUUGUAAGAUCUUAGAUGGACACUUUGUUUCCCCCAUGGCUCACUAUGUGCCUGAUAUCAUGCCAAUUGAAUCUGUUAUUGCAAGGUUCCAAUUUAUUGUGCCUAAAGAAUGGAACAGCAAAU